rnacentral:rRNA from 1 species
UACGUAGGGGGCAAGCGUUGUCCGGAUUUAUUGGGCGUAAAGAGCGUGUAGGCGGCUAGGUAGGUCCGUUGUGAAAACUCGAGGCUCAACCUCGAGACGUCGAUGGAAACCAUCUAGCUAGAGUCCGGAAGAGGAGAGUGGAAUUCCUGGUGUAGCGGUGAAAUGCGCAGAUAUCAGGAGGAACACCGAUGGCGAAGGCAGGUCUCUGGGCCACUACUGACGCUGAGGUGCGAAAGCGUGGGGAGCAAACAGG